rnacentral:rRNA from 1 species
UACGAAGGGGGCGAGCGUUGUUCGGAAUUACUGGGCGUAAAGGGCGCGUAGGCGGCCCCUUUUGUCGCGUGUGAAAGCCCCGGGCUCAACCUGGGAGGUGCGCGCGAAACGGGGGGGCUUGAGUUCGGGAGAGGAGAGUGGAAUUCCCAGUGUAGAGGUGAAAUUCGUAGAUAUUGGGAAGAACACCGGUGGCGAAGGCGGCGCUCUGGACCGAGACUGACGCUGAGGCGCGAAAGCGUGGGGAGCAAACAGG